rfam:Ovis aries breed Texel chromosome 9, whole genome shotgun sequence.
UCUCUGGUGGCUCAAAUGGUAAAGCAUCUGCCUGCAAUUCAGAAAACCUGGGUUCGAUCCCUGGGUUGGGAA